rnacentral:rRNA from 1 species
AGUGAACGCUGGCGGUAGGCCUAACACAUGCAAGUCGAACGCGUGGCGGACGGGUGAGGAAUACAUGGGAAUCUACUAUAUAGUGGGGGAUAACGUGGGGAAACUUACGCUAAUACCGCAUACGAUUGAAUGAGCCGAGGUCGGAUUAGCUAGUUGGCGGGGUAAAGGCACACCAAGGCGACGAUCCGUAGCUGGUCUGAGAGGAGUAUCAGCCACACUGGAACUGGGACAAGGUCCAGACUCCUACGGGAGGCAGAAGUGGGGAAUAUUGGACAAUGGGCGCAAGCCUGAUCCAGCCAUACCGCGUGUGUGAAGAAGGCCUUCGGGUUGUAAAGCCCUUUUGUUGGGAAAGCGUUACCCAAAGAAUAAGCACCGGCUAACUUCGUGCCAGCCGCCGCGGUAAUUC